rnacentral:lncRNA from 1 species
AUGGCUGUGAUCCAUGAAGGGGCUCUUGGUAUAUAGAUCUAGUUUGUCCAUUAUCACCACUGUGCCCUGUUUCUUUGUAUAAAUGUGCCGCAGCUUACCCACCCUCUGCACUGGGCCCGUCACUUGUUUCUAGUGUUGGCUGUUGCAGAGAACUAGCUGCUUCUGCAGGGCUCCCUUGACACGUGUGAGUUUCUCUAAGCUUUCAGUACAUUUCUGACUACAGUUUGGGGACCCAUUAAUGAGCUGGGAGUAAUAAUUUGCUGGUUAUGACCCAC